UGUUUGUGUUUUAAACCCACAAAUAUUUUGAGCUUUUUUUGAUUUCGUGCUUCCUGCAGGUGACAGCACUCCAGGGACAACACCCACCCGCAGCUGGGCACAAUGAGACCUAAUCUUGGCUGAGAGACCUGUAAGGGAUUGGAGGUGCUGCUGUGGCUGUUUGGUUUUAUCCUUUCCUGGGAGCGCUGCUGAUCAAGUUGAGAUGAAGGGUCUUUAUGGCAGAAUGAUGAAUUCCAUCUUUUCCAGAAUGGUCUUGGGCAUUCACUCUACAAAAAAUAUCCUUUCCCACUACAUAAAAAUGUAGUCUGAAAUCAACAUAAAACCAUCACGAAGUGAAACUACUGUUAAAGUUAAAAGAAAUACUACUUGAAAAAUAUCCCAUCAG
rnacentral:lncRNA from 1 species